ACUUGAUACUUAUUAAUGUUAAGAGGUAACCCAUUAAUAAUACUCUAUUCAUUAAGCUUUUCAAUACUAAACUGUAGAUUAAUAUAAUCAUUGUUUGAAUUUAUAACCGAAAAAUAUUUUAGCAUUAUCAGUGAAGAAAAGAACACAUUUAUAGGGGUGUUGAAGAUACUAGGUAAAUCAAUAAUAAAUAGAUUGAAUAAUAAAGGACCUAAAUGAGAUCCUUGUGGUACCCCAGAGUGAACUAUAGUAUCAGAAGAAACUACAGAAAGCAAUUUUACGAACGCAGAAUGAUUUAUUAAAUAUGAUUUAAUCCAAAAUAUUCCAGCUUUGACGAGCUUUGAUAAGAGUUGACGGUUAACUUUGUCAAAUGCUUUUUGAAAGUUUGUAUAAAUAUAAUCAAUUUGGCGCUCCUCAUUAAAAACAGAAAUUAUUUUAGAUUGGUAUAAAACUAGAUUAGUAAUUAUAAAUUUGAUUUGUAUAAAACCACGUUGAUUACUAUCUACUGGGACAUUAAGAGUGAUAGCCUUUUAGUAAUAACGGUUUUGAACAUUUUAGGAAUAGCUAAUAAUUUAGAUAUGGGUCUAUAAGUGGCAAACAUUUGAUUUAUCAACAGACUUAUAUAUUGGAGUUUUGAGGCAUGUCCAUAAAGUAAGAGUACUUAAUUUUUUAAAAGAAUUGUAUUUAAAAAAAAAUACAUGGUUUUAUUAAUAUGCAUAUAAGCUAUUUUCCCAUGUAGUCGUCUUCUUGUUCUAUGCAGGUACUGAGUCGUGGUACGAGCUUUUUGAUGCCCUCCUCAAAGAACUCUUUCUUCCAGUUCAGAAUAUCUUGUUUUAUUUUCUCGUUGUUUAAACAAUUUUUUCCACCCAUGUGUGUCUUCAGGAAGGUGAAAAGAUAAAAGUCUGAAGGUGCCAACAUCAUGUCAGGGGAAUUCGCAGAAUGUUCAAAAGGUCUUAACCGAAUUACAGCACAUACUUAAUACUUGGCGAGAUUUUAAAUAGACAAAUUUAAUAGAAAUGUUCACUAUAAAAUCAAUUUUUGUAGUAUUGAGUUUUGUCAGUGCUUAUUGUGGUCAAGAGAACUUCUACAACUGUUAAAUGUGGCGAACUUUGAAAAAAAAUGUCCACAGGCCUAGAGGGCAACAGUACUCUUACUUUCUGGUCAUGUCUCGUAUACAUAUGAAUUUUUCCAAAUUUCUGGAAAUUAUCCACUUUUAAAAGAUUUAUCAAAAAUGUAAAAUAAUGGUUUGACAAAUUCAUUUCUCCAGUGUUUCAAGAAAAUAGAUGACCUGAUUCA